rnacentral:miRNA from 1 species
ACGCCCCCCGCCCCGCCACCGCCUUGGAGGCUGACCUCUUACUUUUUCGGUCGGUCUUCUUCCCUGGGCUUGGUGUGGGGGCGGGGGAGUGUC